rnacentral:rRNA from 1 species
UAGUCCACACUGUAAACGGUGGGCACUAGACGUUGGUUCCAUGCGGGAUCAGUGUCGCAGCAAACGCAUUAAGUGCCCCGCCUGGGGAGUACGAUCGCAAGGUUGAAACUCAAAGGAAUUGACGGGGGCCCGCACAAGCGGUGGAGCAUGUGGUUUAAUUCGAUGCAACGCGAAGAACCUUACCGGGGUUUGACAUAUAUACGGCGUGGGUAGAGAUAUCCAUUUCCUUCGGGACGUAUAUACAGGUGCUGCAUGGCUGUCGUCAGCUCGUGUCGUGAGAUGUUCGGUUAAGUCCGGCAACGAGCGCAACCCUUGUCCUUAGUUACCAUCGGGUCAUGCCGGGGACUCUAAGGAGACUGUUGGUGACAAACCAAAGGAAGGUGGGGAUGACGUCAAGUCCUCAUGGCCCUUACAUCCCGGGCCACACACGUGCUACAAUGGUAGGUACAACGAGGAGCGAACUCGCGAGAGUAAGCGAACCUGGAAAAACCUAUCUCAGUUCGGAUUGUAGU